UGAGGAAUAUUGGUCAAUGGGCGCAAGCCUGAACCAGCCAUCCCGCGUGCAGGAUGACGGCCCUAUGGGUUGUAAACUGCUUUUGUACAGGAAGAAAAAUCUCUACGUGUAGAGACCUGCCGGUACUGUACGAAUAAGCAUCGGCUAACUCCGUGCCAGCAGCCGCGGUAAUACGGAGGAUGCAAGCGUUAUCCGGAUUCAUUGGGUUUAAAGGGUGCGUAGGCGGCUAUUUAAGUCAGUGGUGAAAUCCUGUCGCUCAACGAUAGAACUGCCAUUGAUACUGAAUAGCUUGAGUACAGUUGAGGUAAGCGGAAUGUGUAGUGUAGCGGUGAAAUGCUUAGAUAUUACACAGAACACCGAUUGCGAAGGCAGCUUACUAAACUGCAACUGACGCUGAUGCACGAAAGCGUGGGGAUCGAACA
rnacentral:rRNA from 1 species